rnacentral:rRNA from 1 species
GCGGAAGAUGUAACGGGGCUAAACCAUGCACCGAAGCUGCGGCAGCGAACGUAUCACCCAAGACAACUUUACGGAGUUGACGAUUGACGGAGCGAAGCGACGUCAAAGCGUUCAUUAAAGUCGAGUUGGCUUAGGGAUACGUUCGUUGGGUAGGGGAGCGUUCUGUAAGCCUGUGAAGGUGUGUCGUGAGGCAUGCUGGAGGUAUCAGAAGUGCGAAUGCUGACAUAAGUAACGAUAAAGCGGGUGAAAAGCCCGCUCGCCGGAAGACCAAGGGUUCCUGUCCAACGUUAAUCGGGGCAGGGUGAGUCGACCCCUAAGGCGAGGCCGAAAGGCGUAGUCGAUGGGAAACGGGUUAAUAUUCCCGUACUUGGUGUUACUGCGAAGGGGGGACGGAGAAGGCUAUGUUGGCCGGGCGACGGUUGUCCCGGUUUAGGCGUGUAGGUGUGUGUUCCAGGUAAA